rnacentral:lncRNA from 1 species
GAAGAUUCUGAAUCUGUAAAAACUACACAUGUCAAUGUUUUACAGCUACGUAAUUCGAAUUGACUUGAUUUUUUCAAGUAAUCCUAGAAAGGGGGAGCAUUCCAUAUAGAAACUGCUGAAACUGCCACAGGUGCUUCUCCGAAAACCUUACAGUUGUGGCAUUGAAUGUUCAGUAUCGCUUCCUUUCUGCACACGAGGCAUACUGUUGAGCCUGAGAAAUGCCAGUGGCCUGACAGCAGCAGACAUUGCACAAACCCAGGGUUUCCAAGAGUGUGCCCAGUUUCUCUUGAACCUCCAGAAUUGUCAUCUGAACCAUUUCUAUAACAAUGGCAUCUUAAAUGGGGGUCAUCAGAAUGUAUUUCCUAAUCAUAUUAGUGUGGGAACAAAUCGAAAGAGAUGCUUGGAAGACUCAGAAGACUUUGGAGUAAAGAAAGCUAGAACUGAAG